GCCUUUGAUGACAAUGUUCAUAGCUGAAGUAAAAGGUUAACCUUGUGGUUAAUGUUGAAAACUUCAUGAACUAGGACGGUCUGAGGC